rnacentral:rRNA from 1 species
GACGAACGCUGGCGGCGUGCUUAACACAUGCAAGUCGAACGGAGUGGCGAACGGGGGAGUAACACGUGGGUGACCUGCCCUGCAAUUCGGGAUAAGCCGGGGAAACAGGGUCUAAUACCGGAGAGUGUGGGGUGGGCUCGCGGCCUAUCAGCUUGUUGGUGGGGUAAUGGCCUACCAAGGCGGCGACGGGUAGCCGGCCUGGGAGGGUGGACGGCCACAUGGUGACUGGGACACGACCCGGACGCCUACGGGAGGCAGGGGCGGGGAAUAGUGCACAAUGGGCCGAAGCCUGAUGCAGGGACGCCGGGUGGGGGAUGACGGCCUUCGGGGUGGAACCUCCUUUCACCAUCGACGCGUUAGAUGGAGAAGAAGCACCGGCUAAUUCCGGGCCAGCAGCCGCGUAAUUC